UUUUCUCUUCGGAUUUCGGAAGAGUGUUUUACUAUUAAACACAUUUAACAAACUAUGUGUGUACAUACAUACAUAUAUAUUUCCAUGCACAGUUGUUUUAAGUCUUCCGAAUGAACAUUACCCAUUACAUAUCGACUUAUUUAUUGAUCAAUCCCACUGUGCAAAGCUUUUUUGUUGCAGUCAGUUGGUUGGUGGUGCAGUUUUAUAACAAAGGAACUCGAAUGAGAACUGGCAAAUGUAUAUACAGUGCAUAUUCCUGAUAAUGAACCUCAUAUGUAAAACAGAAGCUCCCUACAAAUCGUAAUUUGUAUGGUAUUUAGUAGUGCUUUACUGCCAAACGGAAUAAAAAGGUGCAAAUCUCAAA
rnacentral:sRNA from 1 species